AUGCGUAUCUCUCGAGAUGUGACUUUUGAAGAGUCUCGUCCCUUCUACCCACUCCCAUCUUCCUCGACUUUUUCAGUGCAGGAUAUCUCUUUCCUCACUUUUCCUGACUCACCUAUCACUCCCGCCGAGACUGUACCUCUCCGUUCCACUUUCUCUCCUUCUUCACAUCUAGUUGAUUUGCAGCCACCAUCAUCCCCGGUCUCCUCGCCUCGCAUGUCACCGGGUUCUCCACCUUCAUCUCCGGUGACUUCCUCCCCGGUCUCCUCUCCCAGCCUGUCACCGGAUUCUACACCUUCAUCUCCGGUGACUUCUUCGUCGCCACCCCCUGAUUCUACCUUGCCGAUUCCUCCUUCUAUUAUUCCAUCUUUUCCUCAGCAUUACACUCGUCGUCCACGACCAGUUGAUGCCUCUGUGGAUGGGUCGUCAUCUUCCUCUCAGCCUACUUAUGGCUUGCGUUCUCGUUCUCGUCCGCCUGUUGAUCGCUUUGGAUUUCCCACCGCUGGUGCUGCUGUUCUUGAGCCGACUUCUUACCGUCAGGCUGUUGUUCAUCCUGAAUGGCAGUUUGCGAUGGCAGAGAAGAUUGCUGCUCUUGAACGCACUGGUAUCUGGGAUCUUGUUUCUCUUCCACCCGGAGUCCGUCCGAUCACUUGUAAGUGGGUCUACAAGGUUAAGACUCGCUCCGAUGGUUCUCUUGAGCGUCACAAAGCUCGUCUUGUGGCUCGUGCUUUUCAGCAGGAGCAUGGUCGUGAUUAUGACGAGACUUUUGCUCCUGUGGCUCAUAUGACCACUGUUCGUACACUUCUUGCCGUUGCCUCUGCACGCCACUGGUCUAUAUCUCAGCUUGAUGUUAAGAAUGCCUUUCUUAAUGGUGAGCUGCGUGAGGAGGUGUACAUGCAGCCACCACCUGGGUAUUCUGUUCCUGAUGGCAUGGUAUGUCAUCUUCGUCGCUCUCUCUAUGGCCUUAAGCAAGCCCCCCCGCGCCUGGUUUGA
rnacentral:rRNA from 1 species